CGCGGCCUAUCAGCUUGUUGGUGGGGUAACGGCCUACCAAGGCGACGACGGGUAGCCGGCCUGAGAGGGCGACCGGCCACACUGGGACUGAGACACGGCCCAGACUCCUACGGGAGGCAGCAGUGGGGAAUAUUGCGCAAUGGGCGAAAGCCUGACGCAGCGACGCCGCGUGGGGGAUGACGGCCUUCGGGUUGUAAACCUCUUUCAGCAGGGACGAAGGUGACGUGUACCUGCAGAAGAAGCGCCGGCUAACUACGUGCCAGCAGCCGCGGUAAUACGUAGGGCGCAAGCGUUGUCCGGAAUUAUUGGGCGUAAAGAGCUCGUAGGUGGCUUGUCACGUCGGGUGUGAAAGCUUGGGGCUUAACUCCAGGUCUGCAUUCGAUACGGGCUGGCUAGAGGUAGGUAGGGGAGAACGGAAUUCCUGGUGUAGCGGUGGAAUGCGCAGAUAUCAGGAGGAACACCGAUGGCGAAGGCAGGUCUCUGGGCAGUUACUGACGCUGAGGAGCGAAAGCAUGGGGAGCGAACAGGAUUAGAUACCCUGGUAGUCCAUGCCGUAAACGUUGGGCACUAGGUGUGGGGCUCAUUCCACGAGUUCCGUGCCGCAGCUAACGCAUUAAGUGCCCCGCCUGGGGAGUACGG
rnacentral:rRNA from 1 species